rnacentral:ncRNA from 1 species
GAUAACUGGCUUGUGGCAUCCAANUGUUCACAGCAAUGUUGCUUUUUGAUCCUUCAGUGUCAUCUCUUCCCAUAACUGUGAAGCAGAAUUCACCAAGCAUAGGGUUGUCCACCUGCUAACAGGGAACAUGAGCUGGGAUUAGACCAUCAUGUGACAGGUU